UACGGAGGGAGCUAGCGUUAUUCGGAAUUACUGGGCGUAAAGCGCACGUAGGCGGCUUUGUAAGUAAGAGGUGAAAGCCUGGAGCUCAACUCCAGAACUGCCUUUUAGACUGCAUCGCUUGAAUCCAGGAGAGGUGAGUGGAAUUCCGAGUGUAGAGGUGAAAUUCGUAGAUAUUCGGAAGAACACCAGUGGCGAAGGCGGCUCACUGGACUGGUAUUGACGCUGAGGUGGCGAAAAGCGUGGGGAGCAAACAGG
rnacentral:rRNA from 1 species